AGAGGAAAGAAGAGGCCCAGCUAGACUGUAGCAAGGUUAGAAGAUACACGCAAGAUUGCCUGCCACACACAUCGGGUCUUGUUCCUGUCCAGUAUUUGCAUGGAGAUAUCAAGUUAAUUAGGGAGCUCUUUCUGAGAUGAAGAGAAUUCUCAAUGUCAAGAUUUGAACAAGAAGAGAAUGGAAUACACAAUAUGGACAUCCAUAAAAAUUCAUCAGAGAGCAUUUUACUACUGAGCUGCAAAGGGAAAAACUUAAAAUGGAUAUGAAAAGUGAAGAAAGUGAUCAUAGGAGAAAACCAUUUCAGGUGUCUGAUGAUUUGUGAGCCUCAAGUGACUACUCUGUGGAAUCAUCUGUCCUUGCCUUUGAAUUAGCUUUCCCUAGGCCAUGAGUCAACAUUAGUAGUUUAUACAUCCAAAUUGAUGACAAGAGCACCUCAAAGGCAGCAGCCUCAAGGAGCAGCCAUGGCCCCAGACUUGUCGCACGGAUGCAGAAAACUUAAUGGAGGAGGCUGAGGUCAGAAUGGGAAGAGUUUUUAAAAAAUAAAAAGGGGAGCUAAUAUGUGAGGAACUGAUUGCUGUGCAUUAUUUUCCACUGAACAGACCUUCUUUUAACUUCUAAUCUCAAGCACAUAGCAGCUGUUGUUUUCAUAUUAAAGAUCAGUAAGUGUUUGUUGAAUGAAUGUAUAAAUUCUUCCCCAAUCUCUGUUCCAUGUAAUAAGAACUAAGUUAGCAUUCAAUUAUAAAGAGGACUUAGAAAGUCUGCAGACAUUUUUGAUCAAAAAUCCUUUUAACUGUCUUCUUAUGGUUCCCGGUAACACCUAAGCCCAAAAAACUCAGGUCAUUUCUUGCCUGUACUGUUGCAAUAGCCUCAUAAUAACUAGUCUUCUCCUUUAUCAACCACAGUCGUCUCCGCUACACAAAGAAGAGAGGGUGCUAAUCUAAAGUGUAAAUUAUUUUAAAUCAGCACCCUUCUUGUAAUUUCCCAGUGGUUUUUCCUGUCAUAAGAAUAACAUGCAAAAUUCCUUGCUUGCAAAGCCAGGUAUGACCUUGCCCCGUCUACCUUACUGGCAUCGUCUCUCAUGACUCUUCCCCUUUUUCACUCUCCAUCUUGCCUUUUCCCAACCAUGCCUGCUAGUGAGCCUUAGCCCUUGUGUUUUCUCUGCCAGGGAUGCAUGACUGGCUUCUUUACUUUAUUCUGAUCUCUCUGCUCAAAUGUCAUCUUUUUAGAGAUAGCUUUCCUAAACAUCUUUAAAAGUACCCCAUGAACUGUGAAACACCUUUCCUGCUUUUUCUUCAUAGUACUUAUCACUUCCUGAUAUUAUGUUAGACAACAAGCAAAUAAGUAUAUGCUGUUCCCACUAAAAUAUAAGCUCCAUUUGAACAGGAGCCUUGAUUAUUCCUGAGUAUACCCCUAGUGCCCAGAACCUAGUAGGGCUUUAAUAAAUAUUAGAUUCAUUUGUUGAAUGAAAAAAUGAAUGAAUAAUUGAAUAAAGAUAUCCAGGUAGAGUGUC
rnacentral:lncRNA from 1 species